CUGCCGCACGAAGGAGAGCUCCAUGCGGUCGAGGAACGCCGCGUGCUGCUCCUCCGUCCACGUCGCCGCCCCCUGGCCGUGCGCCAGAUCGUCCAUCGGUCCACGCCGGACUUCUCGGCGAGGCGACGAACGCGGUGUCGUGACCCCGCCCGGCGCGCGGCCGGACGAAAUAUCUCCUGCACGAACACGACUACACGACCACGCCUUGGCCGCGGAGUCAUAUUAUACACUUUAAUAACGCAUCGGCACAGGCUCGCUCCAUGCAGCUUCGCGCCGAGGCGACCCGAUAUUUUUUCCGCCGCGAGAAGUUUGGUAAUUUGGUCAGAGGCAGCUCAUCCCGGGAGCAAAAGUGCGUGUUGAUGCUUUGCUGCUUCCACU
rnacentral:lncRNA from 1 species